UUACCUGAAACUUUUUCCUUUGAAAAAAUGGUACAAAAAUUCAUAUUUUUCUGAAAGAAUAGUUAAACAUAUUUUCUCCAUCAUUAUGUAAAAUGUCUGAUUACCUGUCUUAUGCUAUGCAUGGUGAGCUUAUAUGGCUAUGUCCAUAUUGUACAGGGCUAGUAUUGCCAGGGCAUUAAUGAAACAUUUGGCUAUCUAGCUUGUCUAAAUAUCAUUCCAGUUAUUUUUUGAAAAAUUGAGCUGACAUUCUUUGUUAGUGGAGGAGGCCGGCCUCACCCUCUCUAAUCGAGGUGUAUUCAAAUGCUGGUUCUUUUGGUUGCAAAGCUUUUCUUUAUUAGCAACUUUCAGCAAUUUCAUUUUUGCAGUUUAAUAGAUGAUGGAAAGUCAUUAAAAUUUAAUAUACACUAAGAACAUUUCAGACAGGCAUUACCAUUUUCCAUGAACUUUGCUUGAUGAUGUGCAUUGUUUUUGUUCCAUUUUUGCAAUGCCCUAUUCUUUCGGAACAAUGUAAAUGUCUGGUUCCAAUUUAUUCCCCAGAUGAUAUUUCUCAACGCUUUAUUUGGCUAUCUCUCCCUGCUUAUUAUUGUGAAGUGGUGCACUGCUUCUCAGGCUGAUUUAUACCAUAUAAUGAUCUACAUGUUCCUGAGUCCAGCAGAUGAUUUGGGUGAAAACCAACUCUUUGUUGGUCAGAAAUAUUUGUAGAUGACGCUUUUGAACCAUUUAUUUUGAAGAUUCAACACCAAGCUAGGCAUGGGGAUGAAUCAUAUACAGCACUUCAAACCACAGAGGAGAGCUUGCAAGUGGAGUCAAAUAAUGAUUCUCAUGGUCAUGAAGAGUUUGAGUUCAGUGAAGUCUUUGUGCAUCAACUUAUACACACCAUAGAGUUUGUACUUGGAGCAGUCUCUACCCAAUGUGCUCUAGCAUAACAUGUAGCUGUUUUUAUGACUAGUAACUUAGGCUUUUGUUCUAUUAAUAAUGCUCACUUCUAAAAGCUAUAUGGUUGGAACUUUGUAUGAUGCAUUUACUAUUUAUGCAUCUUCUUUAGAUAUAUUUAUAUAUACGUAUAUGAAACUAUAGUGAUGCAUUAACUAAUGUUUUCCUCCUUUGUGUCCAGUCUUGCGCAUUCAGAAUUAUCAAGUGUAUUCUAUGAGAAAGUUCUAGUUCUGGCAUGGGGGUACAAUAAUGUGAUUAUCCUGAUAGUGGGUAUCGGAGUAUUACUCGUCAUGGAAACCCUGAGUGCCUUUUUGCAUCCUUCUCGUUUGCAUUGCUAGAUGAAGAGGAGGAGUGAUGCUUUAAAAUCAUAUAUAUGAACGUGGGAGUAAUAUUGCUUUGGACCUGUAUUGAUUCUUUCAUUUGCUGUGACUAUAGUCAGUGACUGGUAGCUUUUUUCAUUCAAACACCAUUUCGUAUCUUAUUUAUGCCAAUGAGUGAGGGGAAUAAAUUGUAACGUUGAUGAGCUAGGCAGGCGUGGCUGUAAUAAUAAUUUUAUCAAGACAUAUUGAUGUCUAUUUAAUUUUUUUGUCCCCAAAA